GCCUGAGUGGCUCAGUUGGUUAAGUGUCUGACUUUGGUUCAGGUCGUGAUCUCAUGGUUUGUGAGUUCAAGCCUCACAUCAGGCU
rnacentral:tRNA from 1 species